rnacentral:rRNA from 1 species
AUUGAACGCUGGCGGCAGGCCUAACACAUGCAAGUCGAACGAGUGGCGGACGGGUGAGUAAUGUCUGGGAAACUGCCCGAUGGAGGGGGAUAACUACUGGAAACGGUAGCUAAUACCGCAUACCAUCGGAUGUGCCCAGAUGGGAUUAGCUAGUAGGUGGGGUAACGGCUCACCUAGGCGACGAUCCCUAGCGGGUCUGAGAGGAUGACCAGCCACACUGGGACUGAGACACGGCCCAGACUCCUACGGGAGGCAGCAGUGGGGAAUAUUGCACAAUGGGCGCAAGCCUGAUGCAGCCAGGCCGCGUGUAUGAAGAAGGCCUUCGGGUUGUAAAGUACUUUCAGCGAGGAGGCGUUACCCGCAGAAGAAGCACCGGCUAACUCCGUGCCAGCAGCCGCGGUAAUAC